rnacentral:rRNA from 1 species
GGGCCCGCACAAGCAGUGGAGUAUGUGGUUUAAUUCGAAGCAACGCGAAGAACCUUACCAGGUCUUGACAUCGUAUGCAUAACUUAGAGAUAAGUGAAGUCCUUCGGGACAUACAGACAGGUGGUGCAUGGUUGUCGUCAGCUCGUGUCGUGAGAUGUUGGGUUAAGUCCCGCAACGAGCGCAACCCUUAUGCUUAGUUACUACGCAAGAGGACUCUAGGCAGACUGCCGUUGACAAAACGGAGGAAGGUGGGGAUGACGUCAAAUCAUCAUGCCCCUUAUGACCUGGGCUACACACGUACUACAAUGGCUGUUAACAAAGUGAACCGAAACCGCGAGGUGGAGGAAACCACAAAAAACAGUCUCAGUUCGGAUUGUAGGCUGCAACUCGCCUACAUGAAGCCGGAAUUGCUAGUAAUCGCGGAUCAGCAUGCCGCGGUGAAUACGUUCCCGGGCCUU